AAUGUCGCGGUGAAUACGUUCCCGGGUCUUGUACACACCGCCCGUCACACCAUGGGAGUCAGCAACGCCCGAAGUCAGUGACCUAACCUUAUAGGGAGGAGCUGCCGAAGGCGGGGCCGGUAACUGGGGUGAAGUCGUAACAAGGUAGC
rnacentral:rRNA from 1 species